rnacentral:rRNA from 1 species
AACGAACGCUGGCGGCAGGCCUAACACAUGCAAGUCGAACGGGACCUUCGGGUCUAGUGGCGGACGGGUGAGUAACGCGUGGGAACGUGCCCUUUGGUUCGGAAUAGCCCCGGGAAACUGGGAGUAAUACCGGAUAAGCCCUACGGGGGAAAGAUUUAUCGCCAAAGGAUCGGCCCGCGUUGGAUUAGGUAGUUGGUGAGGUAAUGGCUCACCAAGCCGACGAUCCAUAGCUGGUUUGAGAGGAUGAUCAGCCACACUGGGACUGAUACACGGCCCAGACUCCUACGGGAGGCAGCAGUGGGGAAUCUUAGACAAUGGGGGAAACCCUGAUCUAGCCAUGCCGCGUGAUCGAUGAAGGCCUUAGGGUUGUAAAGAUCUUUCAGUGGGGAAGAUAAUGACUGUACCCACGGAAGAAGCCCCGGCUAACUCCGUGCCAGCCGCCGCGGUAAAAC